rnacentral:rRNA from 1 species
UACGUAGGGUGCAAGCGUUGUCCGGAAUUAUUGGGCGUAAAGAGCUCGUAGGCGGUCUGUCGCGUCUGCUGUGAAAAUCCAGGGCUCAACCCUGGACCUGCAGUGGGUACGGGCAGACUAGAGUGCGGUAGGGGAGAUCGGAAUUCCUGGUGUAGCGGUGAAAUGCGCAGAUAUCAGGAGGAACACCGGUGGCGAAGGCGGCUAUCUGGACAGAAACUGACGCUGAGGCGCGAAAGCUAGGGGAGCAAACAGG